rnacentral:rRNA from 1 species
AUUGAACGCUGGCGGCAUGCCUUACACAUGCAAGUCGAACGGUAACAGGUCUUCGGAUGCUGACGAGUGGCGAACGGGUGAGUAAUACAUCGGAACGUGCCUAGUAGUGGGGGAUAACUACUCGAAAGAGUGGCUAAUACCGCAUGAGAUCUACGGAUGAAAGCAGGGGAUCGCGAGACCUUGUGCUACUAGAGCGGCCGAUGGCAGAUUAGGUAGUUGGUGGGAUAAAAGCUUACCAAGCCGACGAUCUGUAGCUGGUCUGAGAGGACGAUCAGCCACACUGGGACUGGGACACGGCCCAGACUCCUACGGGAGGCAGCAGUGGGGAAUUUUGGACAAUGGGCGCAAGCCUGAUCCAGCAAUGCCGCGUGCAGGAUGAAGGCCUUCGGGUUGUAAACUGCUUUUGUACGGAACGAAAAGCCCUGGGUUAAUACCCUGGGGUCAUGACGGUACCGUAAGAAUAAGCACCGGCUAACUACGUGCCAGCCGCCGCAGUAA